AAAAUUCUUCUUCAAAUUUUGUGCAGAAGCUUCUCAAAGUUACCACAAAAAGGAUAAUAAUUCCUACAACAAAGCGUGGGAGUCUCCCAUACCUCCACAGGGCAGAAGGUUGUAGUAACACCCCACUUUUCCAGCACCUUCCAGUACUCUCUCUCUCUCUCUCUCUCUCUCUCUCUUAUACACACCCAAGACUGAAGACAGAGACCUGGGUUUUUGUUCACUGAGGCAUAACAUCAAAACUUGGAGUGCAUAACAAAAUGAAGCCAAUCGACGACAAGAAAUACAAGGUGACGAUCCGGACGGUGACCCACGACGAGGAGGGCCGUAAGAGGGUGGAGAAGAUGGAGCUCCCCACCCACAACAUCGACAGCAUCGUACGUCGAGAAGAAGCUCAUAGACAAAGGCGUGCAGCGACUCGAACGCCACCCGUGAGACGGGACUGGGAUCGGGAGGCCGCCGCCUAAGUCGGGCCACGGUGGCUAGUACACGUAUUUUUAUUUUAUCUUUUGUUUUUACUGCCAAUUUUUUCACAUUUGCUUUCUAUUGGGUUGGAGAUUUUGUUUUUAAUAUUUAUCAAUCUUUUUAUUCUUCAAAUAAAACUAAAAUAAUAAGUACGAAAACUAGGGCCUAGAAUUUAAAAAUCUAAGUGACGGUGAAUAAAUAUCUCAAAAAGUACGUGCUUAUAUAAAGAUUUAAAUUAUUUUAUUUAUUAUGAAUGAUAUUAUAAUAGAAUCUAACUCUUUCAACGGUCACACAUAUUUUAUGUUAUUUAGUUUGUGAGAGAUGUUUUAACAUAAAGUUUGCUAAAAUUUUAUAUGCUUAUAAGAAGUUGAAACCUUUUAUACUAUUUACUUUAAUGUAUAGUAAAAUCUUAACUAUCUUUGUCAUAAAAUGACCUAAAUAUGAAAUUCUAGACUCGGCUUAGCAAUUCCACAACUACAAAAAAAGGUAUUUCUUGUUAAUUCUUCAAUAUACUCUUUCGACACAUGUUUAGAAAAGCUAACUUUGUAACUAAUGCGUCGUUUCCAUUAAAAAACCUAGAACUAGGUCCAUCAUCUUCUUGUGCCACGCCCAUACUGCUUGGCAAUGGCUACAUUCUUCUCUUCAAGUUGCCUCUCGUUGUAAUUUCUCAAUAUUUUUAUUCUGAAAUUUAAAAAGAGAUAUAUCCCUUCGCUUGGAGUUGUUAAUAUAAAUUGGCGAUUUUGUACGAAAUACAUUGAUGAAUUAGAAAUAACUUGAACAAAAUUAUCGAAGAAAGAUUCCGUCACGAUCCAACAGAAUGUAUUGCAACAAGAGUAACAACUAGACAAACACACAGAAAGAAGCAGAAGACAACAUGUUCAGUUCAGGUGCUGCAAACAAAAAGCAUAUAUUGAAAUUUAAAGUUGAUAACAGUUCAUGUUAAAACAUGAUAGCGGAGUCUCUCAACGCUUGUACCGCUUUCCAAGUCUACGAAGAACAUUCGAGUAGAAUUUCCAAUCCGGAUUAGUAGGUGAAAUUGCAGGCAUUCCAAAAGGGUUUCCCUUCACAUAAAUUUGCACAUCUUUUGCAUCUGCAAGGCCAUCCAAAUACUUCCCAAGUUCUCCCUUUGGAUCUAUUUCCAACAGUCCAAAAAAAAAAAAAAAAAAAACUAUGUUAAGCAGGUGUAGAUUUUCAAAUGUUAAUUAUCAAGGGAGAUGAUAUCCGAAUACGCCAAUUCAUGUGCUAAAAUAUACAGUGCAAGAGGAGAAAAUGAGCAUGCGAAAAUCAUUUCCAAAAUAAUAAAUGUAUCAAAAUUCUCGUCAUACUCAGCAUUAUAUGACCCCAAGAAGAUCCCUGUGUUAGGCUGUGACAUGAAACAAAGAAAGCAACUUUAGAAUAAUUAAGGAUAGCCAUUGUCACACUCUCGUUUUCCCCUUCUGCAUUCCUUCCAUUUCUGUCAAUUGAUUCUACUUCAAAAUUCAAUCCAAAAGAAAAAAAGGACUGCAAAAGGAGAAAACAGGAGUACCAAAAAAGGAAGGCAGAGUUGUGAUGACCAUACAGGAUUCAAUAGAGCCUUAUAAGGUUGAUCAUCAAUGAAAAGUGUAUCAGAUUCUGAAUAUUUCCCACUAAAAUAGCUCCACAGUUUGUCCAGUUCUUCGAAAAACAGGGGCUUGUUUUUAUUCUCUAGUAAAUCUUGUCACCAGACAUUUACCAAUAUAUAUAUAUAUAUAUAUAGAUCUCAAUAGUAUACGUAUGUGUGUAAAGCUUUAUAUAUCUUACAGUUCUUACCCAAACAAAUGCCAGUCGUUUUCUCAGCUUUCCCAUUAUACAAUCCAACACACCAUCCACAUUUUUUCUCUUAAUCAGUCAUUCACAACACAAUAAACAAAGUGAAUAGGAAGUAUAUAACAAAUGAAUCAAGAAGAAACAGAAGUAUAACUAGACAUGAUAACCGGUAGACAAGAACAUUAAUAGCAUGUUUACUUGUCAAAAACGAGAACAAGAAUGAUAUCGUUCUAAUUCCUAACUUCUUCAUGUUUAGAGUCAAAAACAAAAAGAAAAAUAAAAUAUAACAUUUCGUCAGUUCGCCGAUCUGAGUUACCCUGCUAUAAGUUCCGAAAUUCAUAAGUGAUAGUAAACAUGCCAUAAAAGUUCAUUAGAAUAUAAAACAUUAUGUGUGCACUUACUCUUGGGCAGAACUCCAUAUUCCAACUUCAAAUCUUUCAAAACAAAAUUGCAUGAAUUCCUCACAAAAUGGUCUCUUAAAAACUGCAUCGUCAAAGAAGAAGGUGGUCAAACCUAAAGCGAAUGUACAUUGUAAAUUUCAAAUGUAACAUGUAGUAUUCUAAGUAUUGUUUUUAUCUGAUGUUUUUUAAUACAAGUGAUAUUAUUAUUAUAAUUCACACUAAGAGAAUGACAAUUUGAACUCGGUAAACAUCAUGCUACAAGAUCUAGUAGACAAGAGAAACUUAUCGUUAUCUAUGAGUCAUUGAUAAACUUUUUUGAAAGUGUAAUAUUAGGUAGACAAAUUUUUUAAACUACAUUUACAAAUCAUGUGAUGUAUCAGCAAUAAAAAAUAUGCCUGUUAGUAGAUCUUCAGACGUCCUCCUACAUGAAAUUCCACUCUCCCCUAUCUCAUAACACUUAAAUAAUAAUUCAACCGUCAUCAACCACCUUAGGUUUACAAAAUAUAAUUUAAAUUACCUUUAAAUGCUAUAUGAACAACACUCUAAUUCAAAGAUUGUGGUACGUACCUAGAUAGCUUCCAUAUGUGCCAUCAGGAGUACGAUUGCGCGGAAUUUUUGUCUUGUUGUGGAUGGAAACCCUGUGGACUAUAAACCCAUUGAGACUAAAGAUUACAAGCUUCUUCCUUGAUCCUAUGUUUAGCUUCUCCAGAGAAAGGCCGCAAUCGCUUCCGGUGACUUCGUUGCCAUCGUCACCGUCAUCGCUGUCAUAUUGUUGCUUGUUUUUACAGAUCUUUUCAUCAGCCAUUGUUCAAAGCAAUGACGUAACAAGUAGCAAAUUUUGCCAAGUAACAUACGGUGUCGUCGGUUUAUAUAGGAAGAAGAGACUGCUGGCUUUUCAACUUCUGUAAAUGUUUGUCGGUCAAUUUGUAGAGGAAGAAGAGACUGUUGGCUUUUCAUCUUCUGUAUAUGUUUAUCAAGUAAAUGGUGGCAAAAACCAAAGCAAAAUGUUUGUCAGUCAAUUUAUAGAGGAAGAAGAGACUGAUGGCUUUUCAGCUUCUGCAUAUGUUUAUCGAGUAAAUGGUGGCAAAAACCAAAGAGUCGAGAAAAAUGGUCUUUCAAAUGGCUUUGGAUACCUUAGUCGAGUAAAAAGACGAGAAUGACUUGAAAAAUGCCACUCAUUUUUUGUGACGUGACAUAUUUGACUAAAAAAUUAAUCGUGAUCCAAUUUUAUUACUAUUCAUUUAUAAAGAUAGACUCUCAAGUCUUACUCAUUUAGACGACGAGUUUAAUACCUAAUUAUAGUGACUGAUCAUCUCAAUCCAAAUCCUCCAGCUUUUAAAGUAGAACAUUAUUCCCAUAACUAGUUAAAAUCCUCCAACAUUCAAUAGUCUGGACCAGUUGUCCUUGCGUAACUACUCACACAAUCGUCAUAUGGAGUCACAUGUUUUUUUCUUUCUCAUGUGACAUGUAUUGAAGCAAUGUCAAUCAACAACUAUAAUAGGAUAUUACGCUUCUUUUAACCGACCAAAGAUUAAUGAGGCCCAAAUUGCAGUUUUCUUUCAACAACAAAAGAUUUCUAACAAUUGGGCUUGUAAAGACAGAAUUCAUGCACCAUGGUCCAAAAUUCUUUUCUUUUCUUUCUUGAUUUAUUUUGUCGCUUUUCAUUUCGUUUUUGUUGUUUUUCUUUAUUAUCUUUUAAUUAUUGUUAGGUUUCGUUUUAAUAUUUAAUUUUCUUUUUAAGGUUGUUUCUUUGAUUUCAUUUAUUUUCCACGCCUUAAGGAUAAUCUGUGAUCCAAGUUUUGGGUGGGAAAUAAGAAUUUUCAAGUUUUUUAUUUUUGAUUCAAUAUAAAAAAAAUUCAUUCUUUUGAAAUUAAUAUCUAUAGAUUAUUUUAAACAUUAGAACAAAUGGACUUCAAAGUCUUUUCUAUUUAUCGUUGCUUAGACACUAAUUCAUGAGUUAUACUUAAAAUUUUGCACAUUCACAUCAACAUGAUUUAUGAGGAAUGAGAUUGAAACACUUACUUUUAGUCUAAAGUAUUUUUUAAUUAUUUUUUUUCUUAGUCUAGUGAAGUUCGUUAUUAUUAUCAAUAAAGUAAUAAUUAUUUCACACAAAGUUUUGCUUAGUAACCAGGCCAGUCCUGCCUAAUCAGUAUUGAUUCUUGCAUUAAAUGAUAGAGUUUUGGCAUGGGGCAGGGUGGUUAGUUGAUUUCGUAGCCUUUUCAGCUCGAGUUAGUAAGUCCUUAGUGUCCUAAAACCCUUGUGGUUUGGGAGUCAUUGACCUAAAACUUGUUACAUGAGUUGGAUCGAAAGCUUAAGUGCACUGACAUUACACGACCACUACUAUUAUUAAAAAAAAUCGAAAAAAAUAAUUAUAUAAAGAAAGAAAAGAAAAAAAAUAAUAAUAGAUCUUUUUGAGGUUAGUAUGUGUGAAGUAGUGAAUAAAAAGGACGAGAGGUAAGAGUUUUAGUCGAGUCUCUUUAACUAUGUUGGUUCACUCUACACCAAGGGAAGCUCAUGAAUUAUAAUUGAAUAUAAAUGGCUUAGACUUUGUAGUGGGAUUGGUUGGAACUUUUGGAAAAAUGUUCUAAUUUUUAACGUUUUUUAUGGAUUAAAAUUUGAAGGUGAAAUUUUUUUGUGUGUCUUAGUUAAUUUUGUUUAAGUUUUUUAGUUUUUCUUUUAUUUGCUAGUUUUGUUUUGCUUGAGGGCAAGCAAAAAGCUGAGUUUGCGGGUAUUUUGAUGAGUUAAUAUUAUAUUAUAUAUUUUACCCUAUUCUUAGUAAUUUGGUAAUUAUUUUUGUAGAAUUUUGAUACUAUGCUUUAUAUUUUCAACAUUGGACAUUUGACUUCAUCCGGAGUGAAACGUAAUCAAACGGAUGAAUUUUGGAGUGAUUCAAAUUGGAGGACGUUCGUGUGUUCCUUAGCUUGUUUGUAUCAAAAUUUUAACAAUUUAUACCGAGUGGUUAUUUUCUGGCGAUUAAAUAAAGAAGCAGUACAAGUUCCUGGAAAUUGAUGUUUUUUGGCUUAAAUGCAAUUUUUGGAGCUUAAGAUGACCUCAAAUGGGUUCGUGGCCUUCUGGAGAAGUGUUCAUAAUAGUCCAAGUUUUAAAUCCAGCCAUUUUGGGCCAAUUUUGAAGCUGAUAUAGGUCCACAAUGUGGUUGUGCAGAAUUUUGGACGAAUUUACCAAGUCAAUUUAGGACUAUGUUUCUUAAUUUAUUUAAAUUUAUUUGGUUUCCUAGUCUUAUUCUAAGACAUAUUACUAGGAGGAUUUAAUUAGCAUAUCAAUAAGCCUUUUUGGCUGGCCCUAGGGUUUUUCUCAUGCAAUUUUUUGGAGAAGAUUUUGGGCAAAGCUUAAAGAUUUCAAGACUUAUAUUUUCAAAGUGUUUUCAUUCUUUUCCUAUAUCAAUAAAGACUUUGUGAUUUUUAAUUAUAAAUAUGUGUAACUAAUUCUCUUUGCUAGGGUGAGACCAUGAUCCUUAGCAAGAAUAUGCAAUAUUUUUUUAAUUUGCUUAUGAAUUUAUGCAUGCAAGUUUUGGAUUGUUAAUUACUGGUUUAAACUAUCUAUUUGUCUGAGUGAUUCACGACCAUUAGGAUAUUUCGAAAAGUAAUUUGAUGCAAUUUUGGCGGAGGGUUGUCCCUAAAAUUGACUAUGGCUUAUUGUGGUUAAUAUGUGUAACUUCUUAGGAUGGACAACCCAUCUUAAGGGUUACAUAGUUUUUCAAAAGCUUUUCACAAAACUUAAUAAGUCUUACAUGUUCACGACGCCACGGACGGAUUGCAUGUUAGAUAUACGUUCUAUGUUGGAGGUUCCAAGUAGGAUAUAUUUUACGAAAACCUAACCUUCAAAAUAUGCAUGUGUAAUUCAUAAGAAAUUAGAAGAACUACACAAGAUUAUUAGGAUGACGGCGGAACCCUAGUACUUUCUCACUUUGAAUUCUAAAAAUUGUUUCCUUUUUCCUUCUUUAAAUUUGCAGAUUCCAGUUAACUUUUUUUAAUUAAUUUCGUUUUUCUUAAUUUAGGUCAUAAAAUAACCCUUUUUUAAACUUUGUUUUCAAAUAAUUAACUAAGAUUUGAUUUUAAAAUAAAUUAUUCAUUCAAUCCCUGUAAAAAACGACAUUACUUGAGCUGCUAUACUUUUGCCACGCCCAUACUGCUUGGCAGUGGGCUACAUUUUCUCUUCAAGUUACCUUUCGUUGUAAUUUCCCAAUUUAUUUCUUCUAAAAUUUAAAAAGAGGUAUACCCCUUCGUAUCGGAGUUGCUAAUAAACACUGGCGAUUUUGUACAUACAUUGAUGAAUCAGAAAUAACUUGGAACAAAAUUAUCAAAGAAAGAUUCCGUGGACGCGAAAGCGUCGAACGAUCCAACAGAAAGUAUUGCAACAAGAGUAACAGCUAGACAAACACAGAAGGAAGCAGAAGAUAACAUGUUCAGUUCAGGUGCUGCAACCAAAAAGCAUAUAUUGAAAUUUAAAGUUGAUAACAGUUCAUGUUAAAACAUGAUAGCGGAGUCCCUCAACGCUUGUACCGCUUUCCGAGUCUACGAAGAACAUUCGAGUAGAAUUUCCAAUCCGGAUGAGUAGGUGAAAUUGCAGGCAUUCCAAAAGGGCUUCCCUUCACAUAAAUUUGCACAUCUUUUGCAUCUGCAAGGCCAUCCAAAUACUUCCCAAGUUCCCCCUUUGGAUCUAUUUCCAACAGUCCAAGAAAAAAGAAAAAUCGGCUUUUAGGUUAAGCAAGUGGUAGAAUUUCAGAUGUUAAUUCUCAAGGGAGAUGAUAUCCGAACACGCAUGUUCAUUGUGUGCUAAAAAUAUACAGUACAAGAGGAGAAAAUGAGCAUGCGGUAAUCACUUCCAAAAUAAUAAAUGUAUCAAAUUCUCGCCAUACCUAAGUCUUUGUCGUUGUCAUUCUCAGCAUCAUAUGACUCCAAGAAGAUACCUGUGUUAGGCUGUGACAUGAAACAAAGAAAGCAACUUUAGAAUGAUUCAAGAUGGCCAUUGUUGCACUCUCAUUUUCCCCUUCUGCACUCCUUCCAUUUCUGUCAUUUGAUUCUCCUUCAAAAUUCAAUCCAAAACCUAGGAAAAAUUGGAGUGCCGAGGGAGAAAACGGGAGUCCGAAAAAAAAGGAGGAAGGCAGAUUUGUGAUGACUAUACAGGAUUCAAUAGGGCCUUGUAAGGUUUAUCAUCAAUGGAAAGUGUAUCAGAUUCUGAAUACUUCCCGCUAAAAUGGCUCCACACUUUGUCCAGUUCUUUGAAAAAUAGAGGCUUGUGUUUAUUCUCUAGCGACUUCAACCCAGAGUCAGUACAUUCAUGUUGAUCCUAUUGAAGAAAUACAUAUCAGCAAAUCUUGUCACCAAACAUUUACCAAUAUAUAUCUCAGUAAUAUAUGUAUAUGUGUGUAUAGCUUUAAUAUCUUACAGUUCUUACCCAAACAAAUGACAGUCGUCUUCUCAGCUUUCCCAUUACACAAUCCAAAACACUAUCCACAUUUUUUCUGUUAAUCAGUCAUUCAUGGCACAAUAAACAGAGUGAAUAGGAAGUAUAUGACAAAUGAAAAUCAUGAAGAAACAGAAGUAUAACUCGACAUGAUAAUCAGUAGACAAGAACAUUAAUAGCAUGUUUACUUACCAAAAACGAGAACAAGUCUAAAUGAUAUCGUUCUAAUUCCUAACUUCUUCAUGUUUACAGUCAAAAACAAAAAAGAAAUAAAAAAAAUAAUGUUGGUUUCAUCUUAAAAUCAGGAAUUAGAUACUCUCGGAACCAAAAAUUGGAUCAACUAGAUGAAAGUUGAUUCAUUUCGCCUGUUUGAGUUACCUGCUAUAAGUUCCCAAAUUCAUAGUUGAUAAUAAACAUGCCAUAAAAGUUAAUUAGAAUAUAAAACAUUGGGUGUGCACUUACUCUUGGGCAGAACUCCAUAUUCCAACUUCAAAUCUUUCGAAACAAAAUUGCAUGAAUUCCUCACAAAAUGGUCUCUUAAAAACUGCAACGUCAAAGAAGAGGGUGGUCAAACCUAAGGCGAAUGUACAUUGUAAAUUGCGAAUGUAACAUGUAGUAUUAAUUCUAAGUUUUUUUUUUUUUACUGUUUUUUAAUACAAAUGAUAUUACUAUUAUAAUUCAUACUAAGAGAAGGACAAUUUGAACUCGGUAGACAUCAUGCUACAAGCUCUAGUAGACGAGAAAUUCAUCGUUAUCCACAAGUCAUUGGUAAACUUUUUUGAAAGUGUAAUGCUAGGUAGACAAACUUUUUAAAUUAUAUUUGCAAAUCAUGUGAUAUGUCAGCAAUAAAAAAUAUGCAUGUUAGUAGAUCUUCAUAUUUCUCCCUACACGAAAUUCCACUCUCAUCUGUCUCACAACACUUCAGUAAUAAUCCGACAGUCAUCAACCACGUUAGGUUUACAAAAUAUAAUUUAAAUUACCUUUAAAUGCUAUGAACAACACUCUAAUUCAAAGAUUGGUAUACGUACCUAGAUAGCUUCCAUAUGUGCCAUCAGGAGUACGAUUGCUCGGAAUUUUUGUCCCGUUGUGGAGGGAAACUCUGUGGACGAUCAAGCCAUUGAGGCUAAAGAUUACAAGCUUCUUCCUUGAUCCUAUGUUUAGCUUCUCCAGAGAAAGGCCGCAAUCGCUUCCGGUGUCUUCGUUGCCAUCAUCGUCGCCGUCAUCGCUGUCAUAUUGAUGCUUGUUUUUACAGAUCCUUUCAUCAGCCAUAGUUCAAAGCAAUGAUGUAACAAGUAGCAAUUUUGCCGAUUAACAUAUGGUGUCGUCGGUUUAUAGAGGAAGAAGAGACUGCUGGCUUUUCAUCUUCUGUAAAUGUUUGUCGGUCAAUUUAUAGAGGAAGAAAAUACUGUUGGCUUUUCAUCUUCUGUAUAUGUUUAUCUAGUAAAUGGUGGCAAAAACCGAAGAGUAAAGAGAAAAAUGGUCCUGCAAAUGGCUUUGGAUACCCUAGUCAAAAGAUGAGAAUGACUUGAAAAAUGCCACUCAUUUUUUAUGACGUCAGAUAUUUGACUAAAAAAUUAAUCGUGAUCCUAUGAUAUUAGAAUAUCUUCAAAUGAAAUGUCAAAUUUUGAACUCAAAAUUAAAAUUUGACAACCUAAAUGACAUUUUGACAUCUUUUAAAGUUUUAUUGUCCACCCGAUAUGUCAAAUUAAAUUAUUAUUUUAUUAUAUUAUAAAAUAAAUGAUUAAAUUAAUAAAAACUUAAUAAAAGGCAUUUAAUAAUUAUGAAAUUCGAACCGGUCACCAUUUCUUUUUAACAAGAGGGAAGUAAUAAAAAGCAUUCAUAAUUAAUUUUGAAGCUGCUCUCAAAUUUGACAGCAACUCUCUUGCUACCAAUUCAUGUUAUCGUCACAUAGGAUUUGACAUUUUGGUUGGAGAACAUUAGUGUGAUCUUUUUUUACUGUUAUAGCUUAUGUGGACAUUUUGACAUCUUUUUUGGAGAUACUCUUACUAUUCACUUAUAAAGAGGGGCUCUUAAGUUUUACUCAUUUAGACGACGAGUUUAAUAUCUAAUUGUAGUGUCUGGUCAUCUCAGUCCAAAACCUUUUAGCUUUUAAAGUAGAACAUUAAAAUCCUCCAAUAUUCAACGGUCUGGACCAGUUAUCCCUGCAUCACUACUCACACAAUCGUCAUAUGGAGUCAUAUAUUUUUUUCUUUCUUUCUCGUCACGUGACACGUAUUGAAGCAAUGUCAACCAACAACUACAAUUGGAUAUCCACUUCUUUUAACCGACCCAAGAUUAAUGAGGACCAAAUUGCAGUUUUCUUUCUAGCCCAUUAUAACAACAAAGAUUUCUAACAAUUGGGCUUGUAAAGACAAAAUUCAUGCACCAUGGUCCAAAAUUCUUCAAAAUUUGUGCAGAAGCUUCUCAAAGUUACCACAUAAAGGAUAAUAAUUCCUACAACAAAACGUGGGAGUCUCCCAUACCUCCACAGGGCAGAAGGUUGUAGUAAUAGCCCACUUUUCCAGCACCUUCUAGUACUCUCUCUCUCUCCCUCUCUCUCUCUCUUAUAUACACACCCAAGAGUAAAGACAGAGACCUGGGUUUUAGUUCAGUAAGGCAUAACAUCAAAACUUGGAGUGCAUAACAAAAUGAAGCCAAUCGACGACAAGAAAGACAAGGUGACGAUCGGGGCGGUGACCCACGACGAGGAGGGCCGUAAGAGGGUGGAGAAGAUGGAGCUCCCCACCCACAACAUCGACAGCAUCAAGUACGUCGAGAAGAAGCUCAUAGACAAAGGCGUGCAGCGACUCGAACGCCACCCGAGAGACGGGACUGGGAUCGGGAGGCCGCCGCCUAAGUCGGGCCACGGCGGCAAGUACACUUGGGAGGGACCUGGCGACGAGGUGGAAGUUGAGAUGGACCCGGUGCCGCCGGCGAUCGACGAGAGGGACCCGAACUACGUGGAUGAGGAGACGGAGAAGAAGAUUGUGAAGGGGGAGGACGAUG
rnacentral:lncRNA from 1 species